rnacentral:misc_RNA from 1 species
AUUAACAUUUUCUUCAAUGUUACUUCUUAAAAUAAGUGAAUUAUUUGUGUGGGAUAAAUAGUAUAUAUUGAGAAGACAUUCCAUAUAUAUCCCCCUGAAUAACUACAUUUUUUUACGUGGUAGAGUCGUGUUACACUACAAUCAAGUAUCGAUACACGCCUGAUGGCUAUGAACAUCAUAUGAUAUUGUUGUGAGUGUGAUAGAUUUUACUUUCAUUUUUUGACCUAAGAUAUAAACAUUCCCGUGCUAAGACAUAUUCUAUAAACAUUGUAAAUGAAGUAUUGUUUUAUCCUAGUGUUUACUUUUGAGUAAAACUCAUGGAGGAUUGAAAGUCCUGUGUGUUGACGUGCAAAUUCAAAUUACCUAUAUAUUAUGCUAAAUUCCAUAUUCUGCAAAAAUAAUUGUUGAUUGGAUAUGAUUUUAAAAAGGUUGAUUUACCUACAAAAUCUUGUGCCGAAACCUAAACAAGCGACGCUCCUAUAUUCUUCUCUCUCAACUCAAUCAUUUCAUUACAAACCGAAUUAUGGAGAAAAUGAGGAUCCAUCUUCAGGAUUUAAAGCUCACAAAUUUAUAGGAGCUCUUUCUCUCGGAACGCUUUUUUACUACUUGUGGAAUAAUGAGAAACAGUGGAGUAUAUUCGCUAAAUCCUCCCCAGACGUUGGCGAAGAUAUCUUACCCAAUGCUGGUCAUCGUAUACAACAUCUUCCAACCUACAACUCUGCCACAGUAGCACAACACUCUGAUCCAAACAGUGGUCGAGUAUGGGUUACGUUUAAGGAAGGAGUGUAUGAUAUAACGGAUUUCAUUUCUCAACAUCCGGGUGGAGAACAACUCUUACUUGCUGCUGGUUCUUCCAUUGAACCAUUUUGGCAUUUAUAUGCCGUACAUAAGGGUAAUAAAAUUGUUUAUGAGCUUCUUGAAGGGUACCGUAUCGGUAAUUUAGAUCCAUCUGACGUUGUUGAUGAAAAAGUAAGCAAGGAUGAUGAUCCAUUUUCUACGGAUCCCAAACGACAUCCUGUUCUGAAACCUCUUUCGGCCAAACCUUUUAAUGCAGAACCACCCUUAGCCAUUUUGGCGGAUAGUUAUUUAACUCCAAAUGAGUUUUUUUACGUUCGUAAUCAUUUGCCAGUUCCCAUUCUGGAGGAAGAAUCAUAUGAACUAGAUAUCGACGAUCAAGGGAAUGAAGGGAUAACAUUGUCACUCCAUGAUUUGAAAAAUAAAUUUCCAAAAUACACCGUAACAGCCGCUAUACAAUGUGGCGGAAACCGAAGGACGGAAAUGAAUGCAAAGAAACCUUUGAGAGGUUUGGGUUGGAAGGGCGCAGCUAUAGGAAAUGCUGAAUGGUCUGGAGCUCGUUUGACGGAUGUUUUAGCCUACUACGGCAUCAAGAACAAUGAUGAAGACACGCUCAAAAAGUAUAAUAACUUUCAUGUCCAAUUCGAAGGGUACGAUGUGGGUGCAGAUGGGAAGCCAUUUGGAGCUUCCAUUCCUCUCUCAAGAGCAUUAGACCCUUCGAAAGAUGUUUUAUUAGCUUAUGAAAUGAAUGGAGUGGCAUUACCGCGGGAUCAUGGGUAUCCCAUAAGAGCGGUUGUUCCUGGAACUGUUGGAGUACGUAAUGUAAAAUGGCUCGCACGCAUUACUAUUGCCCCUGAAGAGAGCGAUACUCAUUUUCAAAAAAAGGACUAUAAAAGCUUCAAUCCAUCCAUUAAUUGGGACAAUGUGGACUUUGAUAAAUCCAGAGCCAUACAGAACAUGCCUGUCACUUCAGCCAUUUGCAGACCAACAAAAGAUGAAAUAAUUCAUCUAAAGAAGGGCCAGACUUCAUUUAAAGCUAGGGGAUAUGCCUGGUCUGGUGGAGGAGCGGAAAUUAUUCGAAUGGAUUUGACUGUAGAUGGAUGCCAAACAUGGUUCGAAGGAUCAAUCAUUGCUAAAGAUACAAAAGCAAAGGAUGCCCGACAUUAUUCCUGGGUGAUUUGGGAAGCGGAUAUUCCAGUGAGAGAGGAUCAGAGUGAGAUAGAAAUUUGUGGAAAGGCUGUAGACUCCAAUCUUAACGUACAGCCUGAAAGCUUUGAAAAUAUCUGGAAUUUGAGAGGAAUGGCAUCCAAUGCCUAUCCUCGUGUCAGUGUAUCAAUUAAACGUGAUUAAUUUAUUAGUUAAUGUCUUUCUGUGAUUUUAAAAAUUAUAUAGGUAUAUGUGCUUGCUUUUGUGUUGAUGGGCCACAAUUAUGUACUAUGAUUUAUUAUUAUUUUUUUUUUUGUUCAUGUCUUUUAAAGAAUUUUAAAAAACCCAGAAUAUAUAUUUUGAAAUGA